rnacentral:snoRNA from 1 species
CGGAUUGCUGUGGCAUGUGAGGCAUGUAUGUUGAAUAUCAUAUGUCUAGAACUCUGUGAUCUAA